GUAGGUGAACCUGCGGAAGGAUCAUUAACACGUAUCCAACGUUAAACAACCCUGUGAACCUUGAACGUGCUCUCGUACACGCUCUAGCAGCAAUCCCUGGUAAAUCAUUGUUGACCAGCUAUUGAGUCUGGGACUUCUGCUAGAAAACCAUACGAUACGAGCGCCAGAGUAAGUGCGGCCUGGCAUCCUAGCAAUCUGUCAGUGGUUGCGCAAGGAUGGCGCAGUAAACGAUCGCUGUAGGCCCACACGGCCGGCGACCGGGCCUCUGUGCUUCGGCGCGCUGUAACAACCGCACCACAAACUCGAACAACUGUUAACAAUGGAUAUCUUGGUUCUU
rnacentral:misc_RNA from 1 species